rnacentral:rRNA from 1 species
UACGUAGGGAGCAAGCGUUGUUCGGAUUUACUGGGCGUAAAGGGCGCGUAGGCGGCUUAACAAGUCACUUGUGAAAUCUCCGGGCUUAACUCGGAACAGCCAAGUGAAACUGUCAAGCUAGAGUGCAGAAGGGGCAAUCGGAAUUCUUGGUGUAGCGGUGAAAUGCGUAGAUAUCAGGAGGAACACCAGCGGUGUAGACGGCUUUCUGGACCGUAGCUGACGCUGAGACACGAAAGCGUGGGUAGCAAACAGG